rnacentral:misc_RNA from 1 species
AAAUGCGAUAAGUAAUGUGAAUUGCAGAAUUCAGUGAAUCAUCGAAUCUUUGAACGCACCUUGCGCUCCUUGGUAUUCCUUGGAGCAUGCCUGUUUGAGUAUCAUGAAAUCUUCAAAGUAAAUCUUUUGUUAACUCAAUUGGUUUCUACUUUGGUAUUGGAGGUCUUUGCAGCUUCACACCUGCUCCUCUUUGUUCAUUAGCUGGAUCUCAGUGUUAUGCUUGGUUCCACUCGGCGUGAUAAGUUAUCUAUCGCUGAGGACACUGUAAAAGGUGGCCAAGGUAAAUGCAGAUGAACCGCUUCUAACAGUCCAUUGACUUGGACAAUACUUUUAUGAUCUGAUCUCAAAUCAGGUAGGACUACCCGCUGAACUUAAGC